GACGAACGCUGGCGGCGUGCUUAACACAUGCAAGUCGAACGGAAAGGCCCUGCUUUUGUGGGGUGCUCGAGUGGCGAACGGGUGAGUAACACGUGAGUAACCUGCCCUUGACUUUGGGAUAACUUCAGGAAACUGGGGCUAAUACCGGAUAGGAGCUCCUGCUGCAUGGUGGGGGUUGGAAAGGUUCGGCGGUUGGGGAUGGACUCGCGGCUUAUCAGCUUGUUGGUGGGGUAGUGGCUUACCAAGGCUUUGACGGGUAGCCGGCCUGGGAGGGUGACCGGCCACAUUGGGACUGAGAUACGGCCCAGACUCCUACGGGAGGCAGCAGUGGGGAAUAUUGCACAAUGGGCGGAAGCCUGAUGCAGCAACGCCGCGUGCGGGAUGACGGCCUUCGGGCUGUAAACCGCUUUCGCCUGUGACGAAGCGUGAGUGACGGUAAUGGGUAAAGAAGCACCGGCUAACUACGUG
rnacentral:rRNA from 1 species